UACAAUCAAAGGAGCACACAUGCAUGCCCAGCCCAACCUCUCUAUCUGCGUACACACGGUGCACCCCUGAAAACCAAGGAAAAGAAUGCUUAUGCGACGCUGAAGGAGCUGGCCGCCUUCUCGACGCCCUUCCUGGCGCCCUUGAACCACCUCUUGUCGCCGGCCUGCGCCUUGCAGAUGUAGAGCUUGCCGUCCGAGACGGUGGCCGUGAUGAGCUGGUGCUUGCCGCCCUCGUCGCCGUCCGCCGUCCUCGUCAGCACCGACACGCUGUAGUACUGCUUCCCGUCCACCACCGGCGCCGAGCUCUCCAGGAUGUUGGCUGUCGCCACCGCGUCGGUCUCGAACCCGCCCUGCACGCGCAAGCACAGGUAAAUAGCCGUCGCCGAAUGAAUCAGAGAUUAAUUAGAUGCAGCAUGUGAACUAGUAGAACUAGAACAAACCUCGGAGUCAGUCUUGCCGCUGUAGGCCUGCUUGCCGAGGAGGUAGUCGACCUGGGCGAGGAACUGCUCCGGGGAGCCGAACUCGGUGAUGGUCUUCUUGGUGGUGGGCUGGACCAUGACGGAGACGUUGCUGUUGGCGUCGAAGUUGUCCUCGUAGCGGAGGACCUGGCCGGGGAACUCGCGCUCCUUGCUGGGGUUCCACUUGGACGGGAUCAGCAGCUUGAACCCGUCGCCGCUGUAGGCGAUGAAGUCCGUGUUCGCCUUGGGCUUCCCGAACACGUUGGCUGCAACCAAGCAAGCAAGCGCGAUUGCAAUCAAGAUUCAAUAACCGACCGAGAUCCAUCAAGCUACCCAGGAGCUGAGACAUUAAGCGCGUGUUGUUACCUGCUUCUCCGUAGGCGGCGGCGGCGGGGCUCACCUUGGCGCCGACGGCGGCGACGCCGGCGAGGAGCGUGAGCGCGGCGCGGCGGGUGACCGCGGCGGCGUCACCGCUCUCGGCGGCGGCGUCCUGCCUCUGCGCCUUGCAGACGAGCUGGGCCCGCGGCACCUGGGGGCGCGCCGAGGCGGCGGCGGCGCCGAGGCGAGCGGUGGACUGGAGGAGGAAGCAGGAGGUGGACGCCAUGGCUGCCGCUCGUUGCUCGCUAGCUGGCUCCUGCUGCUGCUGCUACUAUCUUCCUCUAGAAGACUUGUGGAUGCACCGGACGCUACGAGUGAUAACGAGGGGAGGGACCGAGGGAGCGGUGGGGUCGGCACGGCGAGGCUUCGUUUGGUGUGCGGC
rnacentral:lncRNA from 1 species